rnacentral:miRNA from 1 species
CUCCACGGCUUUCUUGAACUU